rnacentral:lncRNA from 13 species
AUGGUGAAUUUUCACGGUCAUUUUUCACUGGGUCCUGAAUGGGUCUCAGAGGAAAGCAGUUUAACAUUAAAAAAAAACCUUCAGUGUUGGAACCUGAACCCUCUGAGUUUGUAUGUCAGAUCUGCUACAAUGAAGGUAGAUGUCUGUCUUGGUUUUUUUUGUUUGUUUUUUUGUUUUGUUUUGUUUUGUUUUCAGACAGAGUCUCACUUUGCCAUCCAGGCUGCAGUGCAGUGGCUCUAUCUCAGUUCAAUGCAACCUCCACCUCCUGUGUUCAAGCGAUUCUCGUGCCUCAGCCACCAGGAGAGCUGGGAUUAUAGAGUCCUGCUCUGUUGCCAGGUGCCAGGCUGGAGUGCAAUAGUGUGAUCUCAGCUCACUGCAACCUCUGCCUCCCAGAUUCAAGCAAUUCUCCUGCCUCAGCCUCCUGAGUAGCUGGGACCACAGGUGUGCACCACCAUGCCCAGCUAAUUUGUGUAUUUUAGUAGAGACGGGGUUUCACCAUGUUGGCCAGGAUGGUCUCAGUCUCCUGACCUCGUGAUCCGCCCGCCUCAACCUCCCAAAGUGCUGGGAUUGCAGGAGUGAGCCACCGCACCCGGGCGUCUUCUGAAAUUUAAUCCAUC